ensembl:lncRNA
UGCCGUUUCCUUCUCUCGUGCGACUCAAGAGUUUAUAUCCAUGUCUGCAGGAUAAACCUGAUUCAUCCCCACCUCCAAUCAUGUUUCUUUGACUGCGUUUCCUAAAGAUUAUUUUCUCUCUGCAUCCAUCCGGGGAGUCAUUCAGAGGUUAUGAUUUUCGGGCUGCUGUUAUUGGAUAUCAUGCUCCAGUUCGGGACGCCAUUGGUCUGGAGCUUGUCAGUCUGUGGCGCGCCGACGCUCGCGAAGCCGCUGCGCAGACAGUGCACGACACGCGAGUGGCCAGAGAGUGUCUGGAGUCUGUCUGAAACUGAUAAAAAUGGUGAUGAUGGAGUUCAUCCAGAGUCUCGCUCAUACUCAUUAGAAAAACAAAGGGAGGCAGAGCGGAAUUAUACAAUCAUCCAACACUCUGUAGUCUGAUCGUAGCUCGAAAACUAGAUUCUAUUGUAGCGCAUUUCAAAGUUUUAUUCCAUGUUUUUCACCAGACAGACAGUUCAUUAAUGCACAGGCAGGAGGAUAACAUUUCUGAAGUCUUCCGAUGACCUCUUGGAGCUGUCACAGAUGCAGCUACACUUAAAGGUGAUACCUGUGUUCUGCGGUUGUGCUGCCGUGCUGACGGUAGGUUUAAAAGGGCAUUUCCCAGCCAGUACUCUGUGAAGCAGAUUUGGGCAUGUCAUGGAGAGAGAGGUGGAAAGGCAGGAGUGCAGAGAGGUGUGCAAAGAUGUGACGUUUGAAAUGUUGCUGAGUAAUCGCACUUUCAGCUUGGCACACCAAGUUUCCAGCACUCGCUUCUUAUAUGAAUUUCGAACUGAUUUUUUCCUUGAACACAAUGAUUAGACAGGUCGAUUAACAGACAGGUAAAAAAAACUGUACAGACAGUCUGGCACAGAAAAAGCCUAACGUUUGAUUGUGAAGGUUACAGGGUGAUUCUUGAGAGAGAGAGAGAGAGAGAGAGAGAGGCUCCAAAAGUCAUUUUGUGACUUCAUAUGGAUGAUUAAAAAGCUGCAGAAAUGAGAAAUGAUAUCUCUCCAAAUGAAGAUGGCAGCCAUUUUUGUUGUAAUGUCCAACAGCGCCCCCCAGGUCUUGUGGAGCAAGCUUAUGGAUUUUGUGUGUGAAAGAACAAGGCUCUCACUCUCCUGCAUUGCUUGCAUAUAUUCAAUAUCAAAGCCACAAUGGCAUUUUAAAGGGAUCACUGGCAGGCAGCCAAAACACAGAGCCUCUCUCUUUUUAGUGGCUGUCCUGGCUUACUUGCUUUCUUCCUUUUACUCAUGUCCUCGUGCUGAUGGCAGCGUAACGUCUGACUCUUCUCAAAGCUUUACCCAAGUGCUGGAGCGAGACAUUGGAUGUAUUAGGACAGCUGCCUCCAUUUUAGGGAGGAGUUUUGCAGAGGAAGAUGGAUACCCUUUCCACAGUACCAGAAUUUGCAGCGUGAAUCAGUUCUGACUUGAGGCAUCGCCUGCAAUGUUUAGCUAUGUGUUGUCAUUCGAUAUUCAUUUGUUACCCGAAUGUGAUACAUUUUCCCGAAAUUUACUUCGAUUGCAUUUGUUGUGUUUAUAGGAGAUUAAAUGGAAUAUAGUCUAGCUAGUUUACCCUUCUCAAAUUGAAGCAAAUGCGCUUUUUUUAUAGUUCUACUUUUGAUUUUCUGCAUAGGUGUUAUUGUUACAUUUUUAGAUCUUCCUUUUUUUUCUGACCACGCACCGAAAGAUUUUAAUCUGCUUUUUAAAUGCAUUUCUGAUUUUGAUAUAAGUAACAUAUUUGCUAGUUAGUUAGAAAAAAAAAAUCAUAAUAUCCAAUUAAAAUGGUGCCUUCAGGCCCUCGGGAUUUUACUGGUAAAUGAUGAUGUGCUCUAAUCCGCUGUGAAAUGUUAUUUGUUUUAUUUUAUUGUAUAUUACCCAGGCAAAUAACUAUGCUGUGUUUAGUUUUUUCUUUUUUUUAAACCCCGGGUAGUGAAUUAGACCGAUACCUAAAAUGCCAGAUUCCUUUGACCCUAAAAUGCAUUAAAUUACAGAUUGCUUUAGCAAGAUUAAACCAUUUAUUUUUUUGUUUUGUCCAAAAUGUUAGUCCUUUGAAUGUGUCCUUAAUUCUAUGUAUUUAUUAAAGCAUUCAUUUCAAAUUCUUUAUAUGUUCUCCUGCGUUAGAAUAUUCUGUUAAAUGAUUCUUAUCUCUGUCAUUAGUUAGUAUCUCUAAAAACGAUUGUUUCACUGUGUCUCAGUAUUUGUGUUGUGAACAGGGCAAAUAAAAAUACGUGCACAUUUUGUAGUAAAUGUUCAUUGAAGCAAAUAUAUUAAGCAAGAAAGAAUAUAUGUUGAAAAUGUUUUCACAUUAUUUUUGAAGCAUUCCCGUGAUUGUUAAAAUGAUUGUUUUGUCAGUUUAUGUAAAUACAGUAGUGGUUAUUAUUAACGUUAAAUAAAAGUAUUUUAAAUUGCUUUUAUUAAUCCGUGUUGUCUUGUAUUCAUGAUGUAAAUUUAAGUUUGACUGUUUUAUCGUAAGUAUUGUGUUUAUUGUUAUAAUUGUAAUAAAAACAUUCUUUUAAUUUCUUUGAUAUAACAGUGUCUAUUUGUAUUGCUAAAAAAACAAUUGAUGGAUUCAUGUGAUGCAAAUAUGAUAUGAACGAGACUGGUUUGAAGUGUAGAG